rnacentral:tRNA from 2 species
ACAGUAUUGGUGUAGGGGUAACAUAAGGGCUUUCCAACGAGUUUGCCCUUGCGGAGGGUUCGAGUCCCUCAUACUGUA